UCUUCCGUAGUAUAGUGGUCAGUAUGUGAGCUUGUCAUUCUCUCAUCCAGAAUAUUCGCUCGAGACCCGGGUUCAAUUCCCGGCGGGAGAG